rnacentral:rRNA from 1 species
GACGAACGCUGGCGGCAGGCUUAACACAUGCAAGUCGAACGAGUGGCGGACGGGUGAGUAAUGCUUGGGAAUCUGGCUUAUGGAGGGGGAUAACUACGGGAAACUGUAGCUAAUACCGCGUACCAUAGGAUGAGCCCAAGUGGGAUUAGGUAGUUGGUGAGGUAAAGGCUAACCAAGCCGACGAUCCCUAGCUGGUCUGAGAGGAUGACCAGCCACACUGGGACUGAGACACGGUCCAGACUCCUACGGGAGGCAGCAGUGGGGAAUAUUGCGCAAUGGGGGCAACCUGACGCAGCCAUGCCGCGUGAAUGAAGAAGGCCUUCGGGGUGUAAAGUUCUUUCGGUAGGGAGGCGUUACCUACAGAAGAAGCACCGGCUAACUCCGUGCCAGCAGCCGCGGUAAUAC